rnacentral:rRNA from 1 species
GACGAACUGUCCUAACGUUGUUCGGAAUCACUGGGCUUAAAGGGCGCGUAGGCGGCCAUCUAAGUCAGACGUGAAAUCCCCCGGCUUAACCUGGGAACUGCGUCUGAUACUGGAAGGCUUGAGUAUGGGAGAGGGAUGUAGAAUUCCAGGUGUAGCGGUGAAAUGCGUAGAUAUCUGGAGGAAUACCGGUGGCGAAGGCGGCAUCCUGGACCAUUACUGACGCUGAGGCGCGAAAGCGUGGGGAGCGAACAGG